rnacentral:tRNA from 1 species
UCCCCGGUGCUCCAGUGGUUGAGAUUCUGUGCUCCCAACGCAGGGGCCCAGGUUCAAUCCCUGGUCAGGGAA